rnacentral:rRNA from 1 species
CAAUAGCGUAUAUUAAAGUUGUUGCAGUUAAAAAGCUCGUAGUUGGAUUUGUGGUUGUCGCGUGCGGUUCAACACUCGUGUUGGCUUAGCUAGCGUCGCCAUCCUUGGGUGGAACCUGUGUGGCAUUAGGUUGUCGUGCAGGGGAUGCCCAUCAUUUACUGUGAAAAAAUUAGAGUGUUCAAAGCAGGCUUAUGCCGUUGAAUAUAUUAGCAUGGAAUAAUAAGAUAGGACCUUGGUACUAUUUUGUUGGUUUGCGCACCAAGGUAAUGAUUAAUAGGGACAGUUGGGGGUAUUCGUAUUCCAUUGUCAGAGGUGAAAUUCUUGGAUUUUUGGAAGACGAACUACUGUGAAAGCAUUUACCAAGGAUGUUUUCAUUAA